rnacentral:rRNA from 1 species
UACGGAGGGUGCGAGCGUUGUUCGGAUUCACUGGGCGUAAAGGGUGCGUAGGUGGUUGGGUAAGUUUGAUGUGAAAGCUCAGGGCUUAACCCUGAAAUGGCAUUGAAUACUACUUAACUGGAGGUUUGGAGGGGGGACUGGAAUUCUUGGUGUAGCAGUGAAAUGCGUAGAGAUCGGGAAGAACACCAAUGGCGAAGGCAGCCCCCUGGGUCAAGAUUGACGCUCAUGCACGAAAGCGUGGGGAGCAAACAGG